UGGGGAAUUUUGGACAAUGGGCGAAAGCCUGAUCCAGCGAUGCCGCGUGUGUGAAGAAGGCCUUCGGGUUGUAAAGCACUUUUGUCCGGAAAGAAAUCCUUGGCUCUAAUACAGUCGGGGGAUGACGGUACCGGAAGAAUAAGCACCGGCUAACUACGUGCCAGCAGCCGCGGUAAUACGUAGGGUGCAAGCGUUAAUCGGAAUUACUGGGCGUAAAGCGUGCGCAGGCGGUUUGCUAAGACCGAUGUGAAAUCCCCGGGCUCAACCUGGGAACUGCAUUGGUGACUGGCAGGCUAGAGUAUGGCAGAGGGGGGUAGAAUUCCACGUGUAGCAGUGAAAUGCGUAGAGAUGUGGAGGAAUACCGAUGGCGAAGGCAGCCCCCUGGGCCAAUACUGACGCUCAUGCACGAAAGCGUGGGGAGCAAACAGGAUUAGAUACCCUGGUAGUCCACGCCCUAAACGAUGUCAACUAGUUGUUGGGGAUUCAUUUCCUUAGUAACGUAGCUAACGCGUGAAGUUGACCGCCUGGGGAGUACGGUCGCAAGAUUAAAACUCAAAUGAAUUGACGGGGUCAUAGCUG
rnacentral:rRNA from 1 species